GUGAGGAAUAUUGGACAAUGGAUGGAAAUCUGAUCCAGCCAUGCCGCGUGCAGGAAGACGGCCCUAUGGGUUGUAAACUGCUUUUAUAUGGGAGCAAUAAGGUCUACGCGUAGACCGAUGAGAGUACCAUAUGAAUAAGCAUCGGCUAACUCCGUGCCAGCAGCCGCGGUAAUACGGAGGAUGCGAGCGUUAUCCGGAUUUAUUGGGUUUAAAGGGUGCGUAGGCGGCCUUAUAAGUCAGCGGUGAAAUUUUGCAGCUUAACUGUAACAGUGCCGUUGAUACUGUAGGGCUAGGAUUUGGUUGCUGUGGGUGGAAUGUGUGGUGUAGCGGUGAAAUGCUUAGAUAUCACACAGAAUAUCGAUUGCGAAGGCAGCUCACAAAGCCAAGAUUGACGCUGAGGCACGAAAGUGUGGGGAUCAAACAGGAUUAGAAACCCUGGUAGUCC
rnacentral:rRNA from 1 species